rnacentral:rRNA from 1 species
GUCUACGGCCAUACCACCUUGAACGCGCCCGAUCUCAUCUUAUCUCGGAAGCUAAGCAGAGUCGGGCCUGGUUAGAAGUUGGAUGGGAGAAAACUAUCAGUUACUCUAUUAGUAGUUAGUUA